AUUGAACGCUGGCGGCAUGCCUUACACAUGCAAGUCGAACGGCAGCGGACCUUCGGGUGCCGGCGAGUGGCGAACGGGUGAGUAAUGCAUCGGAACGUGCCAUUGAGUGGGGGAUAACGUAGCGAAAGUUACGCUAAUACCGCAUAUUCUGUGAGCAGGAAAGCAGGGGACCGCAAGGCCUUGCGCUCUUUGAGCGGCCGAUGUCAGAUUAGCUAGUUGGUGAGGUAAAGGCUUACCAAGGCGACGAUCUGUAGCGGGUCUGAGAGGAUGAUCCGCCACACUGGAACUGAGACACGGUCCAGACUCCUACGGGAGGCAGCAGUGGGGAAUUUUGGGACAAUGGGCGCAAGCCUGAUCAGCCAUGCCGCGUGAGUGAAGAAGGCCUGGUGUAAG
rnacentral:rRNA from 1 species